AAAACUUAUGAUGUAAAGAAAAAUCAGACCUAAACAGAUUACUGUUAAUGCUCGCUAAAGAAGCACUUAUUAAAGAAGUGUUUGUGGGAGCUGUAUAUGUGGGUAAAAGGCCAUUUAGAAAAGGAACCAGGGCUCCUUGGAGAAAUGGCUGAUUCCAUAUUAAGGCAUUGUCUCCCAAGUUACCUGUUUCCUGCUGUGAUCUGGUGACUAAGGUGAAAUACCGUUGUAUGGUGUACUGAGCAAGACGCAGGUUUUCCAGCCCACGCACCGAGUCGUUCCCUCUCAGCCAGCUGAACUCCACAUCGUUCCCAUCGUAACCCCCUGCCAUCUCCCCUCCAACCCUGCGGUUGCAGCCACCCAGUCACCUGAGAGCAUACAGGACUGUGCCAUUGGAGAAGAGGCGGAUGAGCCUGUUGCCCACAGUGACUUCAUGGAGGAAGGACUUCUUGGACUCCACAAUCUCCCUCAGCUCCAGUGCAUGCACUUUUGGACUUUAUGUGCUUAACAGACAGGAAGUAAAAGAAAUGGCAAGUGGUGAAAGUUUCUUUCUCAGCCAUGUCUCUGGAGUGGAGACAAAACCAUGCAGCGGGUCUGCCUAGAUGUGCCCGUGUCAGCUUCACCAGGAGUACCUAUUAAAGAUGCACAUUCCUGGGG